GGCUGAGGGCCUUUCCUGCCCUGCCACCGCGCCGUUCUUUUUUUUUUCUUUUUUUUUUCUUUUCCAAUAGCACCUGUUCACUGAGUUCUUGGGUCUAAAGAUGCUGCAAGUGGUGUGCAGAAGGACAACGCACAGCCCCCGCCGGCCUUGCUUGCCGGAGCUCUCCGUGAGCCCGCCGGUGCGCUCGCCUGCUAAACGAUGUACCUUCCUGGGCGCGUUGCCUGCCGUGGCCCUUGGGUUAUUUAAUGCCAACGAGGAUUUUUAAGGAAAUAAAUUUCUUUUCCAUUCUUUUUAGUUAUACGACUUGUAAAAAAUAUAUUCGUACAUACAGGCUCAAAUUUGGAAGUACUUUGCUGCCUCAAAAUGCACGUCCCACUUCGAGCUCAGAAUCUGAAGGGCUGGGUUUCCCCGGGGCUGAUGCCGUCAGGCUGUGUGUUUGUAGAAAUAGAUCAUCGUUCUGAGGUUUAGGAUACAUCUCUGGCGGUCACUGGAUGAAGUAGGAUGAGUUAGGUUGCUGGUCUGGUAAUCUCAUUAGGAAAGGCAUCCUAGUUGCACAUGAACUGGUCCGCUGACGUCUUGCUCGGCCAUACCUGACCUGUGGAUUUCCUGUGGUACCUGCAGUACACGCGCUGAGCACUGAGCUGAGCAGGGUUUGCAUUUGAUGAAUGGAUCCUACAACGACUUGUGUUGUGUGUAAUUAUCUGAUAUCUACUGGCAGUAUUCACACAGCUGAAAGUUUUUCCUGCUAUAGUUCUUUGCCCUAGAUAUUGUGAUUUUUGAUCUGUGGACUUCAUCUGUUUCCUGAAUUUAGAGUCUGCUGAGACUACAGGUACCAAAUAGGAAUAGAUGAAAAUGAAAGGAGGGUUUGUCUUGAUAAGAUCUCAUUAUGCAUAAAUCUUACAAUAAAGAGUAGCUACUGAAAAAAAGAAUUUAGGAAGUUAAAAAAAAUCCAAGAAAUCAUAGUUUUUCAUGAUUGUAAACUGCUGACAGAGAAGAUUAAAGAAGAAAAGAUGAAUGCUGCUGCUUUAUCAGUUUGAGGCUUUUCUGUGAUGCAUGUGAUAACAGCCUUAAUCAGGGUAAUGUACACCACAGAGAUCUGUUUGAUCCUUCCUUAUGUUCUCAACUUCCUCUAGUAAGGAACAUAAUCUAUUUUGUUGAAAAUAAACUUUUGCUUUUUUUCAUUGGGUUCUCAUUGUUGACAGCAAGUCUAUUGACCUCAAUGAGAAAAAGUUCCUGGAUCCUAAGUCUAGCUUUAAAGAUUUCAGGUUUAGUUACAACAGGUGAAGAUUCACUGCUUUUUACAGUUUUUUUUUAAAAUACUGUCUUCCCUUUUCUUACCUUCUGGCUAAUGUAGUGUUAGUGAUGAAUCUUAUCAAUUCACUGUGUUUCAUGAACCCGAAUAAAAGCUGCAUCACCCCAAUUACAUUAAGAAGGGCUCUAGACAAACAUGUCUAGCAAACAUUUUCUAUUUUAAGUCAGAAGAAUGAGUGAUUCUUAACAAACCUGGGAACCCUCAUAUAUUAACCUGCAUCCCAUUCCUUAUGAGUAAUUUAUUUGCCAAGGGAGAAUUCCUAGCUUUCUGAGUUGGAAAAAAGGAACUGAAGUUGGGAAAUCUUUUUAUUGUGUUAUGGUAGAUCCCCCUUUAUUGAUUGUGCUCUUCUUAGUCUAUCCCUGACUCAUGGGUCUUAGGACACGGUAUAUAAUAAAUACUGUUUGGGAGAGGUGUCUUUUAUAGCUCAUAUAUAUUUUGCUCAAUCGUGAUGCAGUUUUCACAGCAUGAUUAAAAAUAUAUGCUAAUUUGCAAGUCAUUUAGGAAACUACUAAAGAUACAAGGUAAUUAAUGGUUUACUGACAACAAUACUAAUUUCUUUUUAACUGCGGCAAGCCUUCAAAGCUAUAAUUUCAACCCUAAUGCUUGCAGCAAAAUAUUGCUGCAGUUCAACAGAAUUUUUGUUUUGAACUUUUUGUCAUUAGUCAGACUUCCUAAUGCAUAGGUUUCUGUUUACGCUCUCUAAGAUAAUCCAAGUCUAGAAUAAUUAUUGAAUCCAACUAUUCAUGGUAAUAAAUUCUUCUGAAAUCAUUUCAGUUGGUUGUUUAUUCAUCAUUUUAAUAGUAAUAUUUUAUAAUCACUUAACCUGAUAGUUGAUUCCAGGGAAUAAUAGAUUUUAAUCAUUUUCACCAUUGCGCUCUCCCCCAAAAUUUCAAAUAAUGCCUAAAGUAAUGUUGGUGAUUCAUGAGAUUCAGUGGCAGAGCCAGUAAACCGCUCCAGGAAAUACAUUUUGUCUGAGUGAUGAAAGCGGAGGUUUCACCAUUUGUCCUUAGUAAAAAGUCCUGGGAGAGAUUUUAUCUCUGAGCGGUGAAUCAAAGAAGAGAGUUUAUUGUGAAGAAGUUAACUGAAUAGAACAGGUGAUUAUAUCUUGGGCUCACAGAGUUUUUGCCAUUCGUGAUAAAAAGGCAAGUAUUUUUCCGAUACCUACCCUGCUGUGUGGUGAGAAGGCCUGAUACCAGGAGUUUCAGUGUUUGAGGUCUC